rnacentral:rRNA from 1 species
GAUGAACGCUGGCGGCGUGCUUAACACAUGCAAGUCGAACGGUGAAGCAGGGGCUUGCUCUUGUGGAUCAGUGGCGAACGGGUGAGUAACACGUGAGCAACCUGCCCCUGACUCUGGGAUAAGCGCUGGAAACGGCGUCUAAUACUGGAUAUGUGAUGUGACCGCAUGGUCUGCAUCUGGAAAGAAUUUCGGUUGGGGAUGGGCUCGCGGCCUAUCAGCUUGUUGGUGAGGUAAUGGCUCACCAAGGCGUGGACGGGUAGCCGGCCUGAGAGGGUGACCGGCCACACUGGGACUGAGACACGGCCCAGACUCCUACGGGAGGCAGCAGUGGGGAAUAUUGCACAAUGGGCGGAAGCCUGAUGCAGCAACGCCGCGUGAGGGAUGCCGGCCUUCGGGUUGUAAACCUCUUUUAGCAGGGAAGAAGCGAAAGUGACGGUACCUGCAGAAAAAGCACCGGCUAACUACGUGCCAGCCGCCGCGGUAA